AUUGAACGCUGGCGGCAGGCCUAACACAUGCAAGUCGAGCGGAUGAAGGGAGCUUGCUCCUGGAUUCAGCGGCGGACGGGUGAGUAAUGCCUAGGAAUCUGCCUGGUAGUGGGGGAUAACGUCCGGAAACGGGCGCUAAUACCGCAUACGUCCUGAGGGAGAAAGUGGGGGAGCUUCGGACCUCACGCUAUCAGAUGAGCCUAGGUCGGAUUAGCUAGUUGGUGGGGUAAAGGCCUACCAAGGCGACGAUCCGUAACUGGUCUGAGAGGAUGAUCAGUCACACUGGAACUGAGACACGGUCCUGACUCCUACGGGAGGCAGCAGUGGGGAAUAUUGGACAAUGGGCGAAAGCCUGAUCCAGUCAUGCCGCGUGUGUGAAGAAGGUCUUCGGAUUGUAAAGCACUUUAAGUUGGGAGGAAGGGCAGUAAGUUAAUACCUUGCUGUUUUGACGUUACCAACAGAAUAAGCACCGGCUAACUUCGUG
rnacentral:rRNA from 1 species